GACGAACGCUGGCGGCGUGCCUAACACAUGCAAGUCAACUUGACUGAGGGAGCAAUCUGACAGUAGAGUGGCGCAAGGGUGCGUAACGCGUAAGUAACUUGCCCAAGGUAAGGAAUAACGUCGAGAAAUCGGCGCUAAUACCUCAUAAUGCAGCGGAUCCGCAUGGAUAUGUUGUUAAAGGUUUACCGCCUUGGGAUAGGCUUGCGUCUGAUUAGUUAGUUGGUGUGGUAACGGCACACCAAGGCUACGAUCAGUAACUGGUCUGAGAGGAUGAUCAGUCACACUGGAACUGAGACACGGUCCAGACUCCUACGGGAGGCAGCAGUGAGGAAUAUUGGGCAAUGCUCGAAAGAGUGACCCAGCAACGCCGCGUGGAGGAUGAAGGUAUUCUAUAUCGUAAACUCCUGCGAGAGCAGACGAAAGACAGAUUAUUAAUCUGGAUGACUGUAUGCUCAGAGGAAG
rnacentral:rRNA from 1 species